ensembl:snRNA U6 U6 spliceosomal RNA
GUGCUUAUUUUGGCAGAACUAAAAUUGGAACGAUACAGAGAUUAGCAUGGCCCCUGUGCAAAGAUGACAUGCAAAUUUGUGAAGAGUUCCAUAUUUUA